AUGAAAAAAAAAAAAGUUAAUCUGUUUUUACUAGGAAUGAAUAUCUUUUCUCCUUUAGCCAAAUGUUGUCUACCAUCCUGUUGUUGCUUCAGCUGUGGGACAGCGGGGCACAGGAGACUGACAAUGAGCAUUCCCACCCAGGGCACCAGCGCCCUGCUUUUGCCCUUGCUGCAAAUGUUCCAGAGCCUUAUUUGCAGGAAGGAUACGCCCCACCUUUUGUCUGACCCCCUGAGCCCCAGCGAGAGCUUCCUGAGGUACCUCACCCUUCCACAAGACAACGAGCUUGCCAUCGAUCCGCGACAGACCGUGGUUGUCGUCAUGGGCCAUUUAGACCGUCUGGCUACGCCCUGUUUGCCUCCGCUGUGUAGCACUCUGACGUCUCAUAAGGUGUGUGCAAGAACCACGUUCUCCAUGUGUUUUGUGUCUAGUACCACUUCUACGUUCUCAUCCUGGGCCUGUGUGGAGACUUGGUUUUCUGGUGUUGAUGGGGGGAGCUGGCUUGUGGUUUUAAACAUGUUGGAAGUUGAAGGUGUUCCCCGUGUGGAGAGUGAGUGAUGAGCAAGCUGAGGUGCACAGGCCUAGGGACCCAACCUGGGGGCCCAGGUUCCAGGUUCAGGUAGCACAGCCCCAGAGAGCUCCCCGUUAGCCACAGCCCCAGGCCCUCCCACCUUCUGCAGGGGGUUCCACAGCCUUCUUUAUACUCUAAAGGCGGGCUGUCUUAGUAUGUAAUGUUGGUUAUGGUAGUGACAGUAUAAUCUAUAUUCUAUCUGUCAUGUAAUAGUAAUGGUAAUAGUAGUGAUUUGCGUGUGUGGAGCACCUGUAGGGUGCAGGCCCGCUGAGGACCUCAUGCAUGCUGUUGUAUCUCAUUAUGUCAAUGAGAAAACUGCCUUUGGGAAUGGUGGUGAACUUUGCCAGGGUAUAAGAGUAAUCUUAGUUUUGAAUCGAUUUUUCUAACAUUUUAUUUCUAAUAUGAAGAGUAUUUAUUUUGUUUUACAGUCAUUGGAAAAAAAGGAGGCCCCAUGCGGUGGCUCACGCCUGUAAUCCCAGCACUUUGGGAGGCCGAGGUGGACGGAUCACAAGGUCAGGAGAUCGAGACCAUCCUGGUGAACACGGUGAAACCCUAUUUCUACGAAAAAUACAAAAAAUUAGCCGGGCGUGGUGGCGGGCGCCUGUAGUCCCAGCGACUCGGGAGGCUGAGGCAGGAGAAUGAUGUGAACCCGGAAGGCGGAGGUUGCAGUGAGCCGAGAUCCCGCCAUUGCACUCCAGCCUGGGCGACGUCAGACUUUGUCUCCAAAAAAAAAAAAGGAAUACAGUCACAUGGUUCGAAAAUCAAACCUAGGCAGAGACACACUGUCGCUUUCCCUGCCCACCCCUUCUACCCAGUUUCCCACCUGCUCCCUCGAUUUUUCAGUCUCCUCUGUAACCUCCGUGUUCUCUGGAAUGAGUACCUAGUGGUAGCAGGUUGCAUUACUUGUGGUGUGUGUUUUUUACUAACCAUUUGUACUGCAGUACUUUAUCAGAGUCUGGCUCUUUGUUUUUAUAAAGCAACUUAGUAUUCAGUGUGCGGAUGUGUGUUUUAUGUAUCUUUGUUUAGUGAGUCUCUUACUGGUGGACACUUGGGCUUAUUACCACAAUGUUGCUAUACAAAUAGUGCUGAGGGCCUGGUGUGGUGACUCACGCCUAUAAUCCCAGCGCAUUGGGAGGCCGAGGUGGUUGGAUCACCUGAGGUUGGGAGUUUUAGAACAGCCUGGCCAACUUGGAGAAACCCCAUCUCUACUAAAAACGACAAAAAUUAGCCGGGCAUGGUGGCACGUGCCUGUAAUCCCAGCUACUCAGGAGGCUGAGGCAGGAGAAUCACUUGAACCCGGGAGGCGGGGGUUGCAGUGAGCCGAGAUGGCGCCACUGCACUCCAGCCUGGGCAACAAGAGUGAAACUCCUUCUCAAACAACAAUAACAACAACAAUAAAACAAACACAAAUAGUGCUGCAGGGCCUGCCCUGGAACACGUGUGCUCCAUGUGUGCACGCGUGUGUGCCUGUGCCCAUGCGCUGGUGGGGAUGCACCCAGUGUGGGCUGGUUGUCACCAGGUUGCUCCUGCACGACUUGAUUUCUGUCACCGCCGACACGGAUGCUGGUCUCCCAGCCUCGCGGGUGGGCUUUUGGGAUUUUGCCUCCUAAAGCACAAAAUGGUGACCCUGAUGUAGUUUGAGCAUUUUAAAGUAUAUUAGUAUUUAAGGGCCGUUGAUACUACUUUUUAAUGGGCUCUGUUAAAAUGAAACGCGAUGGAAAUGGAAAACUAACCUGUUCAGUCACUUCAUCAUACCUGUUAAAUGAGGUAAUACGGCAUGGUACCAGCUAUUUUGAUGUUUUGAAUCAGCCUAUUUUCUCUUUAUUUGCUUUGUUUUUAGCUUAUAAUAUCUCAGUGUUACUCCCAUUCUUUUUUUUUUUAUUUUGCUGUUGUAAAAGAAAACGUUUACUUUCUUAUCUUACAGGGAUCAUUGCAAGAGGCAUAGGUUGGGGGUUAAUAGGAUGGAAAUACUAUGCCAGUGUGAUUGGUCCGAUCCAGUGCGAAGGCCCGGCCAACCUGGGAGUCACACAGAUUGCCUGUGCAGAGAAGCGCUUCCUGAUUCUGUCACGCAAUGGCCGCGUGCACACACAGGCCUACAAUAGUGACACACUGGUGAGUGUUCUGGGCACUGUGCCUGCAGCGUUCCCUUGGCGGGCAGGGUCUGCACUGCAGAUGCACAAG
rnacentral:lncRNA from 10 species